CUCUCAUAGAAACGGUGGUCCAGCAACAGGUGCGAACCGGAACCACCCUAUCAUGUCUUCUUCUUUUUCUCGCUGCCGGCUACAGACGCGGCGGCCGGCCGCCAGCUUCCCUCGCCUUGCCGCCGCCGGCCCCCAGCUUCCCUCGCGCCGCCGCCGGCUCCCAGCUUCCCUCGCGUGCCCCUGCCACUGGCUCCCUCGCGCGGCCGCCGCCUGAGUUUUGCUCGCCCGCUCCCGCUCCUCUGAUCCGUCGCGCGCCCCUGCCCCCGGCUCCCUCGCGCGGCCCCGGCCCCCACUCCCUCGCGCGUCCCUGCGACCAGAUCCCUCGCGUGGCCGCCGACCCCAGCUUCGCUCGCGCACCACCGCCCCCCGGCUCCCUCGCGCGGCCGCCGGCUGCCUCGCGACGGACCGGUCCUCCCCCGCGCCUGCAGGGAUGAGCCAUGGUUCACCGCUGGCGAGGUGCCAUUGAAGAUCCCAGGGUUCCAAAAGGAUUCGAGGGAGCGCGGGCGGUGUUGUGCCUCAGUUCAUACCUUGUUGGCGAUGAUGAUUCGUGAUAGCGCCGUGCUGUUGGAUUGAUGCCGCUCGGGAAGAUUGAUCAGCCAGAAGAAUAAUAGCUUCUGACGACGAUCUGGUCAGCUAAUACAAAAGCGAGUUUUCAUCCGGCAAUUCCAUACGCUGCUGCCGGCCAGCUGCAACCAACACCUGACAGAGGCUUAUGAAUGCGCUUUUUCCCAUCUUCCUAAACCGGUAUACCCUCUAGCCGCUAACAAAAACUGUGAGGCCCAAGACCAUGUUCAAGUGGUUAGCCCGCAAUAAAGAAGAGAACAGGAGCAGUUUGCCUAAACCGCUGUCUGGUAUUACCUAAAAUCAUUUGCAUUUUAUUUCUGGAAGAUGCACAGGAAACCACAUAGGUAGCCAAUGCAUUGACUGCGAACGCACCAAGCAUGGUUUCAACUUCAAGUAACUGUUCCAACAGUGUCUUCUGUUUACCAUGAGUACCCAAUGAAAAGCCAAAAUACCAGUAUUUAUCUUCAGCUUGUAACCGAUGGAUGCCUCAUCACAUUUCCGCAGCACCGAGCUCCAGUCGCAGAUCAUUGUUUGUCCAGGGUAUUGGCUAUUACAGAAGGAGUAUUCCAUAGAGAAAAUUCAUCCAGAGAGCACAUAACUUGGCAAAAUGAAAUUCUGGACCAGCAUCACAUGAAAUUGUGAAGGCAUUCAUCGGACACACAAUCUAGAGUAACUCAAGUGAGCAACAAAGCUGGCAGGUCCGACUUUUGAUGUCCCUUGAAACUUGUUUGAAGAAUGGGCGGGUUAAAAUCUCUCCC